GCUAUUCUCCUGCCUCAGCCUCCUGAGUAACUGGGAUUACAGUGAAUAAACCAGCAGACCAAUUCAGAGCCCAUUUCAGUGGUGCAGGUGAGAGGUGUUAGAGACCUGGACAAGGUGGUGGCAGAUGAAGAUGGAGAGAAGAGAGAUAGGAUCUCGCUAUGUUGCCCAGGCUGACCUCCUGCCUCAUGCAUCCCUCACCAAGCUUAACAGUUUACAAAUGGGAAAUCCACAACAUUGGUCAAGAAGAAAAGGCACCAUGAAUGGGAAGACCGAAGUGCAGACAACCAGCUGGA
rnacentral:lncRNA from 1 species